GCCGCAGUAUUUUGACUGUGCAAAGGUAGCAUAAUAAUUAGUUUCUUAAUUAGGAACUGGAAUGAAUGAUUGGACGAGAAAAUUACUGUCUCUUUUUAAUGAUUUAUUGAAUUUUAUUUUUAAGUUAAAAAGCUUAAAUUUUUAUAAAAGACGAGAAGACCCUAUAGAGUUUAAUAUUUUUAUAUUAUUAAUUAUUAGAAAUUUAUUUAAUUUUUAAGUAUUUAGUUGGGGUGACUUAAAGAUUAAAUUAAUUCUUUAAUUUAUUUAUUGUUGAUUAGUAAUUUAUAAUUCUGAAUUUUUCAAGUUUAAUAAAAAUUACCUUAGGGAUAACAGCGUAAUUUUUCUUUAAAGUUCUUAUUGAAAGAAAAUUUUGCGACCUCGAUGUUGGAUUAAAAUUAAUUUUUGGAGUAGCAAUUAAAAAAUUAGGUCUGUUCGACCUUUAAAAUUUUACAUGAUCUGAGUUUAAAUCGGCGUAAGCCAGGUUGGAUUCUAUCUUUAAUUUUUUAAUAUUUUUUAGUACGAACGGACCAAAUAUGUAUUAUAUAUUAAUUG
rnacentral:rRNA from 1 species